GUGAGGCCCAUUUGAAGCAACCAGCCAGUUCUCUGUCUAUAAACCUCUUGUACGUGGCAGUUCCGAUCAUUUUUUACGGAUUAAUUCAUUUGCUAUUUUCCACGAGCUUCAGAAAUAACCCCUGUAUACAUUUGCUUUGGUUCACCGCAACUCUGUCCUUUUAAGACUAAGCACAAAGGGAUUAAAGCCGUCAGACUUCAGGUUUGCCUGGCUGCAAAUUCAGAUGUUUGACUUACAGUUAUUGGCUCUAGGGAAGUUGGAUUUGUUUCUGUAUAUUUAUGUUGCCAAGAAACAAAGAAAUGACUAUUGUAAGAAUUUUUCCUGGUGCUGGUUGUACACAAGAAUUUCCUUGUGUAGCCUGAACUAUAAGUACGUAAUCAUAAUUGUCUUCAGCAGUGGGUUUUUUUAAUAUAAAAAGAGGGUACUCAAGGGUACGCAGUACCGACACCUAUUUUGUUGUUGUUGUUGUUAAAAAGAGUGGCACUUACGGCACCCAUUUUUCUAGAAUGGAUCUUCAGAACCAUUCAGAUAGCCAAUGCAUACCACAAACUGCUUAAGGCAGAGUAUUGGAAUUUCAGCUGAAUGUAGUACAGUGGUACCUCAGGUUACAUACGCUUCAGGUUACAUACACUUCAGGUUACAGACUCCGCUAACCCAGAAAUAGUGCUUCAGGUUAAGAACUUUGCUUCAGGAUGAGAACAGAAAUCAUGCUCCGGCGGCGCGGCGGCAGCAGGAGGCCCCAUUAGUUAAAGUGGUUCUUCAGGUUAAGAACAGUUUCUGGUUAAGAACGGACGUCCGGAACGAAUUAAAUACUUAACUCGAGGUACCACUGUAUUAUACCGGGGGGGGGGUGUCAAAUUUUAUUUGAACUUCUUGAUGCUGUAAUAAGGUAGUUGUCUUACCAAUAGUACAAAGCCACAUUAUUUAUUUAAGUCAUUUAUACCCCAACAUUCAGAUAAAAAGACUGUCCGAGAAACUUACAAAAACGAGUACAGUAGUCCUUGUCUUUCAUUUUACAGUGACAUGAUACACGAGGAAAAGUGAAGAGGACAAAGAAAGGGGGGAAACAAGCUCAGGCCCCGGUUAUUAUAACACAUUUAUGCAGAUCUGUGAAGAUCCUGGCUGUCUAGGAGAGCAGAAAAAUAUCCACCCUGAUCAGAGGACAAUGUCUAGGCUAAGAGGCCACGGCUGUUCCUGCAACACAGUUCUGUUCCCAGACAGCUGACUUGAUGGCAGCUAGAAUCCUCAUAAGGUCACACGUAGGCACAGAUGAAUCUGUCAGUUUCUGUUUCUCUCAGUUUCUAAUUUUUCCAGUCACAUUACUGCAUCAGUUGGUGAUUAUUGUUUACAUAGAAAAUGUCCUCAUGAAAAUCCAUCAGUACUUUUGUAUGCAGUUUUGCCUAAUAUGCACAUUUUUGCUAGCAAUCUUUUAGGUUAUUUCCAUGAAUAUAUGCAUCUUUGAAUACAAAAUUGUAUGAUUUUUGCACACAUUUACUUACAAAAAUGCAUUGCAAAAUUCUGAGAAGUGAGAAUUUCAAAGGAUAGCCAUGUUUCAGCUCACCUAGUGUUUUGGAAACUGCAACUCUUCCCUGUCACUACUACUCACAGCAGGGGUUUGAUGGCCAACGCUAGUGGAAUUUCUGGCUGACUUGGCACUGGCAAGGAGCGACCCCUUCGCAGAAGUACUCUUCCCUACCCCAAGCAGAUCCUUGACCAGAGCAGAUGACAAUGUCCUGGCCAGAAGGGCAGGGCUGCUUUAGCCACCCAGUUCUUUUCUCAGACAGCUCAUUUAUGAUUAAUUAUAUUGAGCAUAUACUUAUUUAAAAUGGAUUGGACCCUUUUCUGCAUUCAGUAAUUCUUUUGUUUGAGUGUCUGUUAAGUUCAAUGAAAUUAAAAAGAUAUCCACAAAACAGUGAAAGAACACUGUUCUGGAAAUAACAGAGAAUACAUGCUCAUCAGAUGUUAGAUGCUAAGAAGGAUAAAAAUUAAAGCAGGUGGAUGGAUUAAAUCAAAUGAAGCGGCUAGGCUUAGGCCACAAUAAACUAUGUGCUAUUAGAGGAUAUUAAGAUAAUGAUCAUUUGGGUUAGCCUACAGCCUAAUAAGAAUUCUGGGAUUGUAAAUAACCCUUGAUGGGUACAAUA